AUUGAACGCUGGCGGCAGGCCUAACACAUGCAAGUCGAGCGGAUGAAGGGAGCUUGCUCCUGGAUUCAGCGGCGGACGGGUGAGUAAUGCCUAGGAAUCUGCCUGGUAGUGGGGGAUAACGUCCGGAAACGGGCGCUAAUACCGCAUACGUCCUGAGGGAGAAAGUGGGGGAUCUUCGGACCUCACGCUAUCAGAUGAGCCUAGGUCGGUUUAGCUAGUUGGUGGGGUAAAGGCCUACCAAGGCGACGAUCCGUAACUGGUCUGAGAGGAUGAUCAGUCACACUGGAACUGAGACACGGUCCAGACUCCUACGGGAGGCAGCAGUGGGGAAUAUUGGACAAUGGGCGAAAGCCUGAUCCAGCCAUGCCGCGUGUGUGAAGAAGGUCUUCGGAUUGUAAAGCACUUUAAAUUGGGAGGAAGGGCAGUAAGUUAAUACCUUGCUGUUUUGACGUUACCAACAGAAUAAGCACCGGCUAACUUCGUG
rnacentral:rRNA from 1 species